rnacentral:rRNA from 1 species
UACGUAGGGGGCAAGCGUUGUCCGGAAUCAUUGGGCGUAAAGCGCGCGUAGGCGGCCCGGUAAGUCCGCUGUGAAAGUCAAAGGCUCAACCUUUGAAUGUCAGCGGAUACUGCCGGGCUAGAGUCCGGAAGAGGCGAGUGGAACUCCUGGUGUAGCGGUGGAAUGCGCAGAUAUCGGGAGGAACACCGGUGGCGAAGGCGGUUCUCUGGGCCUGACCUGACGCUGAGGAGCGAAAGCGUGGGGAGCGAACAGG